rnacentral:rRNA from 1 species
CCUACGGGAGGCAGCAGUGAGGAAUAUUGGUCAAUGGGCGAAAGCCUGAACCAGCCAAGUAGCGUGCAGGAUGACGGCCCUACGGGUUGUAAACUGCUUUUAUACGGGAAUAACGCGCCUUACGUGUAGGGCUUUGCAUGUACCGUAUGAAUAAGGACCGGCUAAUUCCGUGCUAGCAGCCGCGGUAAUACGGAAGGUCCGGGCGUUAUCCGGAUUUAUUGGGUUUAAAGGGAGCGUAGGCCGCAUGUCAAGAGUGCUGUGAAAUGUCCGGGCUCAACCCGGGCCUUGCAGCGCGAAAUGGCGUGCUUGAGUCCGCGGAAAGCAGGCGGAAGUCGUCGUGUAGCGGUGACAUGCUUAGAUAUGACGAAGAACCCCGAUUGCGAAGGCAGCUUGCUGCAGCGGAACUGACGCUGAUGCUCGAAAGCGCGGGUAUCGAACAGGAUUAGAUACCCUUGUAGUC